rnacentral:rRNA from 1 species
UACGUAGGUGGCGAGCGUUGUCCGGAAUUAUUGGGCGUAAAGGGCGCGCAGGUGGUUAUUUAAGUCAGAUGUGAAAACGUGGGGCUUAACUUCACGAUUGCAUUUGAAACUGGGUAACUUGAGGACAGGAGAGGAAAGCGGAAUUCCCAGUGUAGCGGUGAAAUGCGUAGAGAUUGGGAGGAACACCAGUGGCGAAGGCGGCUUUCUGGACUGACCCUGACACUGAGGCGCGAAAGCUAGGGGAG